GAAGACUUUCCAGUUCAGCUGCAUUCUUUCUAAGCAGGUGCAGUAGUUGAAGUUUGACAUUCCUGCACCAGCAUUUCUUCUGUGGCUUUUGAAUUAUGAGCCUCAUUGCUUUGAGGCCCCUCAGAAGCAUGGUGUAUCAAAGAAGCAUUUGCACUUUAGGUGUGUGUGGUUGUUACAUCAUUUAUCAGAACUUCUCAGGUUUUCUCAAACUCAGCACCAUUGACAUUUUAGACCUGAUAAUUCUUUGUUUGGAGUGGAGGAAGUGGCUAUCUUGUAGAGUAUUUGGUAGCUUUUAUGGCUUUCAUUGGCUGGAUCAUAGCACAUUCAACCUCUCCUGUUAUGACAGCCGAAGAUGUUUUCAGACACUGCCAGUGUCCCCUCGAAUCGAAAGGAUAGGAGAGGUUGACGAAACCCACCCCUUGUUAAAACCACUAUACCAAAAAGAGCCAAAAGACUUUUAACAUUCUGUUGUCAUUUAAUCUUCGUUACAGGUAGGUUUUUUUAUAAUACAACUUGGACUCCUAAACUCUUGGGACUAUUAGAAGAGACUGCAAAAGCCACACACAACCACAGCCCCAAAUCAUCCUUAUAUAUUUGUCAAUUUCUCCAGCCUCCAAAUUUACUGAGGGGAGAGUGGAAGAUUGAUUAUCUCUAGAAAUUUAGGAUUUGGCUUCUGCGUAGCUAGGGAUGUGGCCCUUUGGUAAUUAGGCUUUGCUACUGCAAUCUCCAUGGCAGUGGCUUCCACAUUCAGUGCAGGGACUGGAUACUGAAGUCACACAGCUUUGGCAUCUCACAGAUUUGCUUUGGGGAGUUACUUUUGUCAUCACACACAUUACACAAAUUUUGUUCCUUAGUCUUUGCCUCAGUGUGCACAGAAGUUAAAGCUGGCUACGUCUAAUUUUAAGUCUACCUGGAUGCUGUAUUUCUAUUUUUAAUUCCAGAAAGUUUUAUUUCCAUCAUCAGAAUAUUCUCCUUUAUUAUCCAGUCAGCUAUGGGCCUAAAGCAGUAGUGGUAAUAUUGAUUUAUUUCACUGUUUUUCUAGGUAGGGGAGAACCUUGACUAUCCCCAGUAAUUGAAAAUGGUAAUGCAGAGUUGGAAUACCUAAAUCUCCCAAAACAAAGCUCAUACUCAUUUGGUGUGCCUUAGGUCAGUCUUCCAGUAGGGGUGGCGAUUUCCUAUGGACAACUCUGAACCCAGUCAGUUUGUACUUGUGUCUGUUUUUGCACUGAUCGAAAAACUUGGCAAAGUUCAUCAAAGACAGCUCUUUAAAAAUGCCCCCAAUUAACAGCAAACUCCCAACUGGAAUAUCAGGCCUCCAUUUAUUCCUUUGCUAAGACCAACUCGGACUUUAAAUACAUUCAUAAUUAUUUACUAUAAAUUUACUAAUAUGGACACGAAAUUGAAAACAUUAAUUACAAAGUCUAUGACUAUGAAAUAUUAAAAAGUACAUACAGGGAAAGUUCUUGUAAGGCAGUCAUGGAAGUCAGAAAAUUUCAACUUCAAGACCCUCGGAUGUGUGUAUAAUUUUCUGCUCUACCACUAUUACAUCAAUCUACUUAGUAUUGUUUCUUAAGGUUUUAAGUAAGCUGAUCCUCUAGAUUCAACUUUAGAAUGGAUCUGCCUAAUUAUAGCUUGGCAUAACUUUUGUACCAUCCAGUGUUCAUGACUCUUAAAAUAGUUGCCCAUCACUCUUAAAAUGGAUGCCCAUUGCUCUUAAAAUGGUUGUUGCAAAGAGGCAAAAUGGUAACUACUGAAGUAAAAGCACAUAAUUUCUUGAAUUGAUUUUCCUUUGUAAGCUGAUAGAACAUAUUAUCAUUGGCUUCUUGAUAACACAUUUUUAUGAAUGACCAAAAACUUAUUAAUUUAUAUUAAUUUCUAGUUCAUUCUCCACAAUGAAAAAUUUUAUGUUUCUAGCCAGGAUAAAAGGCUGGAAAAUAUUAAAUGCAAACCACAAG
rnacentral:lncRNA from 1 species